rnacentral:rRNA from 1 species
AUGGGGGGCGAUUGCAACUUCUCGGUUAUGUGGGCGGAGGGUGGUGGCGUUGGUUUCAUUUAUCUGUCACGCUUGAGCGCCCAACUAUGGAAGAGGAAGACCGAUUGCGAUGACGUUGCUUCAUGGGUGCUGGGAAAAACUAUUGAACUGGACAAGCUACUUUCCAUGAAUUCGAAGGAGAAGCGACAUUUGCCUAUGAUACUAGCAUUUGCUGAGGACAAUAAUGUUGUGCUCCUGUGGACAAUUAUGGGCUUAUUCACGAUCCAGCUUGAAUCAUUGCAGUUCAUGAAACUUGGCGUAACUAACAACAUAGCUCAAUAUUAUCCACUCGAAAGUGUCUAUGCUGCAGGUGCAGUCAUGGCCAUUCGUCAUGGAAAUGAUGGAACCGAGCAGAUGGAUGUGCUAUAG